rnacentral:rRNA from 1 species
GCAGCCAUGCCGCGUGUAUGAAGAAGGCCUUCGGGUUGUAAAGUACUUUCAGCAGUGAGGAAGGCGGGUACGUUAAUAGCGUGCUCGUUUGACGUUAGCUGCAGAAGAAGCACCGGCUAACUCCGUGCCAGCAGCCGCGGUAAUACGGAGGGUGCGAGCGUUAAUCGGAAUUACUGGGCGUAAAGCGCAUGCAGGUGGUUUGUUAAGUCAGAUGUGAAAGCCCGGGGCUCAACCUCGGAAUUGCAUUUGAAACUGGCAGACUAGAGUACUGUAGAGGGGGGUAGAAUUUCAGGUGUAGCGGUGAAAUGCGUAGAGAUCUGAAGGAAUACCGGUGGCGAAGGCGGCCCCCUGGACAGAUACUGACACUCAGAUGCGAAAGCGUGGGGAGCAAACAGGAUUAGAUACCCUGGUAGUCCACGCCGUAAACGAUGUCUACUUGGAGGUUGUGGCCUUGAGCCGUGGCUUUCGGAGCUAACGCGUUAAGUAGACCGCCUG